GACGAACGCUGGCGGCGUGCUUAGCACAUGCAAGUCGAACGGAAAGGCCCUGCUUUUGUGGGGUGCUCGAGUGGCGAACGGGUGAGUAACACGUGAGUAACCUGCCCUUGACUUUGGGAUAACUUCAGGAAACUGGGGCUAAUACCGGAUAGGAGCUCCUGCUGCAUGGUGGGGGUUGGAAAGUUUCGGCGGUUGGGGAUGGACUCGCGGCUUAUCAGCUUGUUGGUGGGGUAGUGGCUUACCAAGGCUUUGACGGGUAGCCGGCCUGAGAGGGUGAUCGGCCACAUUGGGACUGAGAUACGGCCCAGACUCCUACGGGAGGCAGCAGUGGGGAAUAUUGCACAAUGGGCGGAAGCCUGAUGCAGCAACGCCGCGUGCGGGAUGACGGCCUUCGGGUUGUAAACCGCUUUCGCCUGUGACGAAGCGUGAGUGACGGUAAUGGGUAAAGAAGCACCGGCUAACUACGUG
rnacentral:rRNA from 1 species